rnacentral:other from 1 species
AUCCCUGCGUAGUACGUAAGAGCAUAAUUUUUAGAACCAACAAAUUUUAAGAGGGGCCGAUCUCAUAAAUAUGGCGUGCAUGCUCACAAUAUAGUGAGAAGCCCAUGAGUAUUUAGGUAGGCACCCACCUGUUUUUAGGAGCAGGUCCUUAAAAAUUAAAAAGCUGACGGCUAAGGCGGGGCUU